rnacentral:rRNA from 1 species
CCUACGGGGUGCAGCAGUGAGGAAUAUUGGUCAAUGGCCGCAGGGCUGAACCAGCCAAGUCGCGUGAGGGAUGACGGUCCUAUGGAUUGUAAACCUCUUUUGUCAGGGAGCAAAGGGCGCCACGUGUGGCGUUUUGCGAGUACCUGAAGAAAAAGCAUCGGCUAACUCCGUGCCAGCAGCCGCGUUAAUACGGAGGAUGCGAGCGUUAUCCGGAUUUAUUGGGUUUAACGGGUGCACAGGGGGAAUGGAAAGUCAGCGGUAAAAGUUCGGUGAUAAACCCCGUCGUGCCGUUGAAACUGGCGUUCUUGAGUGAGCGAGAGGUAUGCGGAAUGCGUGGUGGAGCGGUGAAAUGCAUAGAUAUCACGCAGAACUCCGAUUGCGAAGGCAGCAUACCGGCGCUCAACUGACGCUCAUGCACGAAAGCGUGGGUAUCGAACAGGAUUAGAUACCCGGGUAGUC